rnacentral:rRNA from 1 species
AACGAACGCUGGCGGCAGGCUUAACACAUGCAAGUCGAACGCCCCGCAAGGGGAGUGGCAGACGGGUGAGUAACGCGUGGGAAUCUACCGUACCCUACGGAAUAACGCAUGGAAACGUGUGCUAAUACCGUAUACGCCCUACGGGGGAAAGAUUUAUCGGGGUAUGAUGAGCCCGCGUUGGAUUAGCUUGUUGGUGGGGUAAAGGCCUACCAAGGCGACGAUCCAUAGCUGGUCUGAGAGGAUGAUCAGCCACAUUGGGACUGAGACACGGCCCAAACUCAUACGGGAGGCAGCAGUGGGGAAUAUUGGACAAUGGGCGCAAGCCUGAUCCAGCCAUGCCGCGUGAGCGAUGAAGGUCUUAGGAUUGUAAAGCUCUUUCACCGGAGAAGAUAAUGACGGUAGUCGGAGAAGAAGCCCCGGCUAACUUCGUGCCAGCCGCCGCUGUAAAAC